rnacentral:rRNA from 1 species
UAAUAGCGGCGCCGCAAGUGGUGGCCGCUUUUAUUGGGCCUAAAGGGGCCGUAGCCGGUCCCGUGGGUCCCCGCCGAAAGCCCGCGGCUUAACCGCGGGAGUCGGCGGGGAAACUGCGGGACUUGGGACCGGGAGAGGCCGGAGGUACCCCCGGGGUAGGGGUGAAAUCCUGCCAUCCCGGGGGGACCGCCAGUGGCGAAGGCGUCCGGCUGGAACGGGUCCGACGGUGAGGGCCGAAAGCCGGGGGAGCAAACCGGAUUAGAUACCCGGGUAGUCCCGGCUGUAAACGAUGCGGACUAGGUGUUGGGGCGGCCAUGAGCCGCCCCAGUGCCGUAGGGAAGCCGUUAAGUCCGCCGCCUGGGGAGUACGGCCGCAAGGCUG